GACAGAGGUUGCAAACGUUGUUCGGAAUUACUGGCAUAAAGCGCACGUAGGCGGUCCGUUAAGUCAUGUGUGAAAUCCCCGGCUCAACCGGGAAUUGCGCCUGAUACUGGCGGCUAGAGAUCGAUAGGGGUGAGUGGAACUCCAGGUGGAGCGGUGAAAUGCGUAGAUAUCUGGAGGAACACCGGUGGCGAAAGCGGCUCACUGGAUCGAGUACUGACGCUGAGGUGCGAAAGCUAGGG
rnacentral:rRNA from 1 species